rnacentral:rRNA from 1 species
GAUGAACGCUAGCGGCAGGCUUAACACAUGCAAGUCGAGGGGCAGCAUGAAGGUUAGCAAUAACUUUGAUGGCGACCGGCGCAAGGGUGCGUAACGCGUGAGCAACUUGCCCGUUUCAGGGGGAUAACCGGUGGAAACGCCGACUAAUACCCCAUAGUACAAUCUUAAGGCAUCUUUGAUUGUUAAAGAAUUUCGGAAACGGAUAGGCUCGCGUGACAUUAGCUAGAUGGCGGGGUAACGGCCACCAUGGCGACGAUGUCUAGGGGUUCUGAGAGGAAGGUCCCCCACACUGGAACUGAGACACGGUCCAGACUCCUACGGGAGGCAGCAGUGAGGAAUAUUGGUCAAUGGUCGAAAGACUGAACCAGCCAUGCCGCGUGAAGGUCACGGCCCUAUGGGUCUUAAACUUCUUUUGUAAGGGAGCAAUAAGGUUCACGUGUGGACUGAUGAGAGUACCUUACGAAUAAGCAUCGGCUAACUCCGUG